CCGUAACUAUAACGGUCCUAAGGUAGCGAAAUUCCUUGUCGGGUAAGUUCCGACCCGCACGAAUGGCGUAACGAUGGCCACACUGUCUCCUCCCGAGACUCAGCGAAGUUGAAGUGGUUGUGAAGAUGCAAUCUACCCGCUGCUAGACGGAAAGACCCCGUGAACCUUUACUGUAGCUUUGCAUUGGACUUUGAAGUCACUUGUGUAGGAUAGGUGGGAGGCUUUGAAGCAGAGACGCCAGUCUCUGUGGAGCCGUCCUUGAAAUACCACCCUGGUGUCUUUGAGGUUCUAACCCAGACCCGUAAUCCGGGUCGGGGACCGUGCAUGGUAGGCAGUUUGACUGGGGCGGUCUCCUCCCAAAGAGUAACGGAGGAGUUCGAAGGUUACCUAGGUCCGGUCGGAAAUCGGACUGAUAGUGCAAUGGCAAAAGGUAGCUUAACUGCGAGACCGACAAGUCGAGCAGGUGCGAAAGCAGGACAUAGUGAUCCGGUGGUUCUGUAUGGAAGGGCCAUCGCUCAACGGAUAAAAGGUACUCCGGGGAUAACAGGCUGAUUCCGCCCAAGAGUUCAUAUCGACGGCGGAGUUUGGCACCUCGAUGUCGGCUCAUCACAUCCUGGGGCUGUAGUCGGUCCCAAGGGUAUGGCUGUUCGCCAUUUAAAGUGGUACGUGAGCUGGGUUUAAAACGUCGUGAGACAGUUUGGUCCCUAUCUGCAGUGGGCGUUGGAAGUUUGACGGGGGCUGCUCCUAGUACGAGAGGACCGGAGUGGACGAACCUCUGGUGUACCGGUUGUCACGCCAGUGGCAUCGCCGGGUAGCUAAGUUCGGAAGAGAUAAGCGCUGAAAGCAUCUAAGCGCGAAACUCGCCUGAAGAUGAGACUUCCCUUGCGGUUUAACCGCACUAAAGAGUCGUUCGAGACCAGGACGUUGAUAGGUGGGGUGUGGAAGCGCGGUAACGUGUGAAGCUAACCCAUACUAAUUGCUCGUGAGGCUUGACUCU
rnacentral:rRNA from 1 species